rnacentral:rRNA from 1 species
GGAGCUUGCUUUAUAUAACUUAGCAGCGAACGGGUGAGUAACACGUAGAUAAUCUAUCCUAUACUGGGGGAUAGCCCGAUGAAAGUUGGAUUAAUACCGCAUAUAGCUAUAUAGUUGCAUGAUUAUGUAGUGAAAGAUUUAUUGGUAUAGGAGGAGUCUGCGGCACAUUAGCUAGUAGGUGAGGUAAAGGCUUACCUAGGCGACGAUGUGUAGCCGGUCUGAGAGGAUGAACGGCCACAAUGGAACUGAGACACGGUCCAUACUCCUACGGGAGGCAGCAGUGGGGAAUAUUGCACAAUGGGGGAAACCCUGAUGCAGCAACGCCGCGUGAGUGAAGAAGGUUUUCGGAUUGUAAAGCUCUGUUAGCAGGGAAGAGGAAGGACGGUACCUGCAGAGGAAGCCACGGCUAACUACGUGCCAGCAGCCGCGGUAAUACGUAGGUGGCAAGCGUUGUUCGGAAUAACUGGGCGUAAAGGAUGCGUAGGCGGUUAAACAAGUUAUAUGUUAAAUAUAUAGGCUUAACCUGUAGAAAGCAUAUAAAACUGUUUAACUAGAGUGCAGGAGAGGUAAGUGGAAUUCCUAGUGUAGCGGUGAAAUGCGUAGAGAUUAGGAAGAACACCAGUGGCGAAGGCGACUUACUGGACUGUAACUGACGCUGAGGCAUGAGAGCAUGGGGAGCAAACAGGAUUAGAUACCCUGGUAGUCCAUGCUGUAAACGAUGGGUACUAGGUGUGGGUUGUGAAUAACAAUCCGUGCCGU